rnacentral:rRNA from 1 species
UACGUAGGUGGCAAGCGUUGUCCGGAUUUAUUGGGUUUAAAGGGUGCGUAGGCGGUCCUAUAAGUCAGUUGUGAAAUACGGCAGCUUAACUGUCGAGGUGCAAUUGAUACUUCAGGACUUGAGUACAGACGAGGUAGGCGGAAUUGACGGUGUAGCGGUGAAAUGCUUAGAUAUCGUCAAGAACACCGAUAGCGAAGGCAGCUUACUAGACUGUAACUGACGCUGAUGCACGAAAGUGUGGGGAUCAAACAGG